CUACUACAACUACUAGACCACCAAUUGUAACAAAUUCAACAGCUCUUGCUAAUGCAACAACUACAACAAUACCCGUGACAACACCUAUGACAAAUUCAACACCUCAAGUGACAACUUUUACUGUGACUAAUGCAACUACAGCACUGACAACACCUGUGAUCACUCCUCCAGUCGUUCGUCAAUACCUGCUUUCCUUUGAGCUGAAAACCAAAGAUGUCAGAGCUGUAGAGC